rnacentral:rRNA from 1 species
GAUGAACGCUGGCGGCGUGCCUAAUACAUGCAAGUCGAGCGAAUGGAUUAAGAGCUUGCUCUUAUGAAGUUAGCGGCGGACGGGUGAGUAACACGUGGGUAACCUGCCCAUAAGACUGGGAUAACUCCGGGAAACCGGGGCUAAUACCGGAUAACAUUUUGAACUGCAUGGUUCGAAAUUGAAAGGCGGCUUCGGCUGUCACUUAUGGAUGGACCCGCGUCGCAUUAGCUAGUUGGUGAGGUAACGGCUCACCAAGGCAACGAUGCGUAGCCGACCUGAGAGGGUGAUCGGCCACACUGGGACUGAGACACGGCCCAGACUCCUACGGGAGGCAGCAGUAGGGAAUCUUCCGCAAUGGACGAAAGUCUGACGGAGCAACGCCGCGUGAGUGAUGAAGGCUUUCGGGUCGUAAAACUCUGUUGUUAGGGAAGAACAAGUGCUAGUUGAAUAAGCUGGCACCUUGACGGUACCUAACCAGAAAGCCACGGCUAACUACGUGCCAGCAGCCGCGGUAAUAC